rnacentral:sRNA from 1 species
AAGGCAUUUACAACAUGAUGUCCAAAAUCCAUUGAGUUUGUGUCAUGCAUUCAUUGUAUUCAUAGUCUGCUUUAGGUACUUAGCAAAAUAUUGCUGAUAUUAACAUGCCUUUGUUUGCUUCACUGGAGAUGAAAUUCUGCUGCAAGUGUUUUCCAAGGUUCCGUAUGACCCAUCAUUUGAUGAAACAAGAACAGCAGUCAGAUCCAUUACAAAGAGAGACACACAAAAAAGCUAUUCCCAACAAAAGAGCUUGAACAGUGCUGCAUUUGCAUCAGGUUCAAAUGAGCGAGAGGAACAUUUGGCUAAAAUAUUUGAUGAAAUUCUACUGCAGGUGUUUCCAAAGGUUCCGUAUCAUCCAUCAUUUAACGAAACAACAGCAGUCAGAUCCAUUACAAAGACAGACAUGAGAAAAGGAACCAGUGUUGUUUGGAAAUCUCCUAAACCAGAAUAUUUCCUUGGCAGUGUGGACAAAAUUCCCGAUAAAGAGACUGGGUUUCACUGUGUUAGCCAGGAUGGUCUCCAUCUCCUGACCUUGUGAUCCGCCCGCCUCUGCCUCCCAAAGUGCUGGGAUUACAGGCAUGAGCCACCGUGCCUGGCCUAGAAUGUCCUUUCUUUUU